ensembl:lncRNA
CUUGAAUGAGAAUCUCCACUGUGCAUUUGCAGGCUCUUGAGCAAUUUCUCCCAGGGAAGUAAAGACAGACAUCGUAUUAUAUGUGUUCUCCUUGGAGUAAAGAAAAUUUAAAUUAUUCACCUGGGUUACAGAUAUGGAUGGCCUUCCUUGCUGCAGAAAGAAUUUCCAGAUAGUGUCUUGGAGAAUGUAUCUGCACUUAUAAGUAUCUACUUCCUGAGAGAUGAGCAAAAAAGCAAGAUUCAGCAAGCACAUGGAAUUCAUCUUUCCUCCUCCAGCUGUCGGUGUUACCUGGAGCCCCAUGGUUAUUCCAUUUUUCUGAGUUCUGAAAAUAAGCAGUGAGGAACUGAAAGAUUCCCAAAAAUUGAAACGAGCCUCAAACUCCGUGCCAUACACGGAGGGAAUGGAAAUGACUCUGGCUAGUGUCUACUUCAGGCUGAACACAAAUUUUUAGCUAUUGCUUGCCAUAACUCAAUCUCUCUGACAAUAGCAAAUGUCAUAUAAACCAACGUUUAUAAUGGGAAAUCAAAGAAGAUGCAUGUUAAACAGAAGGUGUGAACAUGAAGAUUCAGUAUCUUUCUAUACCUUUUUAAUUCCUAUAAUAAACCAAACUUUACGUUUUUGUGUAAGACCUACAAAUGCAACUGAUCCUCAAUUAUGCAAAUUAGGGACAGAAAAGAUAUGUGUUUGUAUCAGCAAAUUCUUGUUUACCUAGCACAUAAGCAAGUUGAGUCAUGAAAAUAUGUAUGUGUAAGUGUUUGUGCUGGGACGGUUUGUGAGCUGAUGUCGGCAUGGGAAUUUAUCCAACAAGAAAACAGAAACAGUGUCAUAUAUGAAAGAGCUGAACAACUACUUUAAAAAGUCAAACAUAAUAAAUGUAGUGAAAAACUCAAAAUAGCCAGUCAUAUACAAUGGCUGCUCCAAAAGUAGUGCCUCC